rnacentral:rRNA from 1 species
UAGAUACCCUAUUAUUUAAGAGCUUAACAUUGUAAGUACAUACAAAUUACGAAAGCAAAAAAUUAUGGCGGUAUUUUAAGCUUUUCAGAGGAAUUUGCUCUUUAAUGGAUAAAACACCUAAAUCUUACUUAAAUUUGUUAAUACAAUUUGUAUACCACUAUUAAAAUAAUUAUUAACUUUAAUUAUUUAAAUUUACAAUAAAUAAAAAAAAUUAAGUCAAGGUGCAGUAUAAAUUUAAGAAUGAAGUGAAUUACAUUUCUUUUAAGAGAGGAAAAAUUAAAAUGCAGUUAGGAUUUGAAAGUAAAAUUAAAAUAGAAUGUUAAUUUGAAUCAAGCUCUAAAAUAUGUACAUAUCGCCCGUCACUCUUAGUUAAGAUAAGUC